GAUGAACGCUAGCUACAGGCUUAACACAUGCAAGUCGAGGGGUAACGAGAGGGAAGCUUGCUUUCCUUGUCGGCGACCGGCGCACGGGUGAGUAACGCGUAUCCAACCUGCCCCCAACUAGGGAAUAACCUUGCGAAAGUAAGACUAAUACCCUAUAAUUUCCUCAGAUGUCAUCUGACGAGGAAUAAAGAUUUCUCGGUUGUGGAUGGGGAUGCGUCUGAUUAGCUUGUUGGCGGGGUAACGGCCCACCAAGGCAACGAUCAGUAGGGGUUCUGAGAGGAAGGUCCCCCACAUUGGAACUGAGACACGGUCCAAACUCCUACGGGAGGCAGCAGUGAGGAAUAUUGGUCAAUGGGCGGAAGCCUGAACCAGCCAAGUAGCGUGCAGGAUGACGGCCCUAUGGGUUGUAAACUGCUUUUAUACAGGAAUAAAGUUGGCCACGUGUGGUUAUUUGUAGGUACUGUAUGAAUAAGGACCGGCUAAUUCCGUGCCAGCAGCCGCGGUAA
rnacentral:rRNA from 1 species